CAGUUUGUGUACCUGCAGGACCUAAAAAUCCAACUUCAUUUUCUGCUCUUUUCUUUUUUUCUUAUUAAAGACUUACUCUGUCAGAAAGUCAGCUCUGUGGUGGACAAGUGACCCCAUGCCUGGUAAUAGCUGUCUCCUCCCUCAAGUUCUUGCUUUAUCGAGCUGUGGUCUUGGUGUUGGAGCGUGCCUUUGUGGAAAGGAGUUGUCUAUUACAUCUGGAUUGCAAUCAUCCUGAUCCCUUUUCUUCUCAAACCAUAUACUUCCGUGUCCUUCAGCAGUCCAAGAUGAGUUUUUCAUGAGACAUCUACCAAAUCACAACAGCGGAGAGAUGGAGAAGAAAGAGGAAAAACAAAAACCUUGGGAUCACCUACAUGAAGUU